AUGAUCCAUCCAUGCCUGACUGUCACUCGGCGCCGGAAGGCCGGUCCACUCCCAUGGCCAUGGUCCAUUUCAUCAAAGCAGAUUACAACAACAAGCUGCCCCAACAGUAGCUCCUACAGUAGCCUCUCCUCUUCAUCUUCUUCUUCCUCCUCCUCAUCUCUGAAUCAUAAGAGCAUCCCCAACAAGCGCGGCGCGCUAGAAAGUAGAAAGGCGUGUCAAAAGACACUGAAGCUUCCUCGAACGAAUCCACCUCCUCCAUAUCUUCUCUUCUCCUUCGCAUAUAUCCAAGCAUUCUUUACUCGCGCCACUAGCUAG
rnacentral:rRNA from 1 species